UACGUAGGGGGCAAGCGUUGUCCGGAUUUAUUGGGCGUAAAGAGCUCGUAGGCGGUCUGUCGCGUCGGAUGUGAAAACCCAGGGCUCAACCCUGGGCCUGCAUUCGAUACGGGCAGACUAGAGUACGGCAGGGGAGACUGGAAUUCCUGGUGUAGCGGUGAAAUGCGCAGAUAUCAGGAGGAACACCGGUGGCGAAGGCGGGUCUCUGGGCCGUAACUGACGCUGAGGAGCGAAAGCGUGGGGAGCGAACAGG
rnacentral:rRNA from 1 species